rnacentral:rRNA from 1 species
UACGGAGGGUGCAAGUGUUAUCCGGAAUCACUGGGCGUAAAGCGUCUGUAGGUGGUCAAGUAAGUCAGCUGUUAAAUCUUGAGGCUCAACCUCAAAAUCGCAGUCGAAACUAUUAGACUAGAGUAUAGUAGGGGUAAAGGGAAUUUCCAGUGGAGCGGUGAAAUGCGUAGAGAUUGGAAAGAACACCGAUGGCGAAGGCACUUUACUGGGCUAUUACUAACACUCAGAGACGAAAGCUAGGGUAGCAAAUGGG